UACGUAGGGGGCUAGCGUUGUCCGGAAUCAUUGGGCGUAAAGAGCGUGUAGGCGGUCCGGUAAGUCCGCUGUGAAAGUCGGGGGCUCAACCCUCGAAUGCCGGUGGAUACUGUCGGGCUAGAGUGCGGAAGAGGCGAGUGGAAUUCCUGGUGUAGCGGUGAAAUGCGCAGAUAUCAGGAGGAACACCGGUGGCGAAGGCGGGACUCUGGGCCGAUACUGACGCUGAGGAGCGAAAGCGUGGGGAGCGAACAGG
rnacentral:rRNA from 1 species